UGGAGCUUUUGUGCUGUUGAAACGGAAGAAUAAUCUUGGGGCACAGUAAGUUCUGAUACUUUGAUUUUUAAUGCCAUUGUUGUUCAAGAACUCGCUGAUCCAAAAGAGAACUCGCCGGAGGCAAUCAUCCGCAUACGAGCUUCCUGUUUUGGUUCGAUGGCCGCGCAAAGCAUUGGUAACCUUGGAAGAGCUAAAAAUUUCAACCAUCGGUGACCGUUGAAGCGACUGAACUGGAAAAGGUGUUGAUGUUUCACUUGUAGCAAACAUCAAUGAGGUGGUAUGCUAUGAAAAGAAGAAAGCAUUGCAUGUCAUUGAGUUGAGCAUUAUCUACGUUGAAGACAAAAAAUAAGGUAGCCAGGUUUAGGAAGAGAACGCGUGGGAGAGUGAGGGCAGACAUAGAAGAAUGAUUUUCUUUCUAAAAUCUCUCCAUGUAUGGAGAGAAAACUUGAGAAAAAAAAUAUAGUAGGUUUCAUACUUCAUUUUCUAUUCCACUUUUCCUUCCUUUCACUUUUCUUUCCUCUUUCAAACAGAGGAAAUGUUAUUUUCUCUCCUAUUUUACUCCUUAAUUUUCUUUUAUCCCAAAUUUUCUCUCCAUCCAAACAGAGUAUAAGGGAACAGGUCACCAUUUGUAAUUUUUCAUUUUAAUUUAUUAGCUGCCAAAUCAGCGCAAGGGGGAAUGCCUUUCCAAA